CCGGCAGGCCCGCGGGGCGCGUGGCGCGGGCGGGCGUGCGCGGAGGCGGGCGGCGCGCUGUCCCGGCGGCCCUGCUCGAGGCCCGGAGCGCCGGGACCCAGCUCGCAGGCGGCGUGCGGCGCUCGUGGCCGGAGGGCGAGGGUGGCCUGGGAGUCGCGGGGCCCCAGGAGCCCGCUGUCCUCCGCGUGGGAAAGUCCUAGACCAGGUGGCCUAAUGACGGAUUCUGCAGAAGUGAAACCGUCCUUCUGAGGGAGGCAAAAAGGGCCCUGGGACAGAGCCCGCACAGGAGCCCUCAGCGUCCAGCCGCUGCUGUCCGAGCAAUGCUGGAGGAGCCUCCGGGCCUCCCUGAGCCCCACGUGCCCAGCUCCGCUGCAAGCAAAAAAUAUUAGAGCUGAUCCCAAGUUACUUCAAAUGUGAAACAAGCCAAAUCAGAAAAAGAGCAGUUCGGAGAGAGAGAUGUCGCUGGUUAAGACCAGGAGGAAGUUUAUGGUCAAGGUGGCUUGCCAGAAAAACGGACACGAGUGAAGCGACUUAGCCCGCAACGCGCGCAAGUGCUUAUUCACUUAUUUGGCGGUUCCGGGCCAUAGCGGCGGCUCUCGGGAUCCUUGAUCUUCCUUGCGCGCCUCUGUCUGCCCAGGGGGCAUUCACCAGCCAUCUCGUCCUCAGGGAAAGGCCGCACCAGGGACUCUGAAGCUGGCUCCCUUCACGGAAAGAAGCGCUUGCUCUUUCCAGUGAGAAGGAAGGGGGCCUCCCUGGUGGCUCAGAGACACGAGUUCGACCUCUGAUCCGGGAAGAUCCCACAUGCCGCGGAGCAGCUAAGCCCGUGGGCCACAGCUACUGAGCCUGUGCCUCGGGGCCCGGGACCCACAGGGACUGAAGCCCAUGCACCUGAGAGCCGGGACUCCGCGACGAGAAAAGCCACCGCGACGAGAAGCCAGAGCACUGCAACUCUCGAGUGGGCCUGCUCGCCGCUGCUCGAGAGAGCCCUCGCCAGCAGCGGAGACCCCGCACAGCCAGCAAUGGAGAGACCCAGUAAAAAGGGAGGGAAGGAGGCUGGCUUUAGCAACAUGUGGGGGUCAUUCCUCACUGCUUAGACCUCCACACGGGGGUCAGCUGUCAGCCUGCGCACACCCUAACCCACGAGCAAGGCCCUGCCCCAGACGAGGCUCCCUGCACGGGGAGGACAGCGAACGCGUCGUCUCGGCUUUGCCGCCAGUGAGGCAGGCGUGAGCGUCCGCGUGAAGAUGCUGGGCUCUGGAGACACAUUGCUUCUCAUGUCUUCUCCCACUUCUUACCUUCAGAAUAAAUCUUUAAACAGAGCAUUACCAGAUUCUUCACAGAGGCAGGCCGCACAGAGCAACCGCGUUGUCUGCUGUGAAUACGAUAUCUUUUAAAAUCUCCAUCCCAACUAUGGGCGGGUUUCCUCCCAUAAAUCUAGGCUGCCUGGCUCAGAUCAAAUUCCGCUUCUCAAGCAAUUUCACAGCUAAAUCCUCCCAAGUCAUUCGUAACAGUUUCUUUACAAAGGACAUGAGACUGGCGGUGAGCCUUUACUGACUCACAAAGCAUUUACCAUUUUCCUGUUUUUAGAAUCCUUAUCCCUUUCGAGUGGGAUUCUAAAAAUAUCAGCUUAAGCCACCC
ensembl:lncRNA